CGUGUAGGCGGCUAGGUAGGUCCGUUGUGAAAACUCGAGGCUCAACCUCGAGACGUCGAUGGAAACCAUCUAGCUAGAGUCCGGAAGAGGAGAGUGGAAUUCCUGGUGUAGCGGUGAAAUGCGCAGAUAUCAGGAAGAACGCCCGUGGCGAAGGCGGCUCUCUGGUACGUGACUGACGCUGAGACGAGAAAGCGUGGGGGAGACAAACGA
rnacentral:rRNA from 1 species